ACUGUGAGGUCCUAUGAGCAAACAUUAUGGUACAGACUUUCUGACACUCCCACUAACCACCACCCUAAAUAACAUAUGCUACUACAUCAGCCCCUCUCCUUUCACCUCAGGGCUUCAUCCAGGAGACACUCAUAUCUCUCCUCCACUGAGGAAACAUAUUCAUCUUCUCCAUCAAGUCUUCUUCACUAUGAUCAGAGUUCUGAUUCACCUGGCAGCUCUACCACUCUGGGUCACAGGGCAGUCGCUUAGCACCGAAGUCCAUCAGACUCCUAUUGCAAUACUAAAAGGAUCUAAAGAUAAUGUACAACUCACCUGCAACCAUGCUAUUCAAAACUACAAUACAAUACUGUGGUACCAACAGUCAACAGGAGACCCUGCUAUGAAACUCAUUGGUUAUGCAUUUGCCGAGUCAAUAACCAUGGAGAAAUCAUUUGAAAAGCACUUCAAUGUGAGUGGAAAUGGUAGGAAAGAGGCUUAUCUUCAUCUACUGAGUCUGAGAUCACCUGAAGACAGUGCAGUGUAUUACUGUGCAGCCAGCCAACACAGUGAUGUAGAGAAGCUCCUCUCCUCUACAAAAACCCUGUCUGAUAGAAAACUAUGAGCAGUGAUCACAACACCUGCAUCUGGGGUUGGAGUUUGGUUCAGAGCCAAUUAAUAAAGAGAUGGAUUACAGCAUCAGCAAGUUGAUCGUAUCUGGCCUAGUACAGUAUAACAGUAUUUACAAAUUAGUGUCAUUACUAAUUAACAUAAAAUAUGUGGUUACAAUGUCAUGUCCCGUUUCUCUGGACAUUUGGGGACCUAAGUGAGAUUUGGCUGGGGGACCCCCAUCCUGACUACAAAACAUUUUAAUGAUCAACCUCUUGACUGGAGAGACAUUUUUUAUUGUUGUUUUAAAGUACAUUUCCUACAAUUCUAUUUUGACAUGGGGAGUACAGAACAUGUUGAUAUAUUAAAGGGCCGGUGAAUUCAAAAAUGUGAUUUUUCUGUGUUUUAUGUAUAUUUGCACUAUGAGGUUGAAGUAAUACUGUGAAAUCGUGUACAUUAUGAUAAUGCCCAUUUAGUGUAAGAGCUGUUUGAAAAGAACGCCUAAAGAUUCUGACUGUUUUGGUGGGAUGGAGUUUUGGCAUUCCACUGUGACAUCACCUUGCAGUAAACUAGUUAAAUGACCAAUCAGAAAGAGAGUUCUAAAACCUCUCUGCCAAUAACAGCACAUGUUCAGUGUCCCCCCUCUACUCAGACCUUUUCCAGACAGUCAUAGCAAAAUUCUUUCAUGAAUAAAUUAUCUUUGCUAAGAAGCUAUUUGUGUCUUCUUUUUAAACAUUUUAGUUGAA
rnacentral:lncRNA from 13 species